rnacentral:rRNA from 1 species
ACACGUAGGGGCCUGACGUUGUUCGGAAUCAUUGGGCGUAAAGGGCGCGCAGGCGGCCGUCCAAGUCCGGUGUUAAAUGGUCGGGCUCAACCCGAUCAUGCGCUGGAAACUGGGCGGCUUGAGUCCCGUAGGGGAUGCCGGAAUUCCAGGUGUAGGGGGGAAAUCUGUAGAUAUCUGGAAGAACACCGAUGGCGAAGGCAGGCAUCUGGCCGGAGACUGACGCUGAGGCGCGAAGGCGCGGGGAGCGAACAGGUUUAGAUACCCUGGUAGUCCGCGCAGUAAACGAUGCGCACCAGGUGUCGGGCGGCAGCGCCCGGUACCGGAGCUAACGCGAUGAGUGCGCCGCCUGGGGAGUAUGCCCGCAAGGGUGAAACUCAAAUGAAUCGGCGGGG